GACGAACGCUGGCGGCGUGCUUAACACAUGCAAGUCGAGCGGUAAGGCUCCUUCGGGAGUACACGAGCGGCGAACGGGUGAGUAACACGUGAGUAAUCUGCCCUUCACUUCGGGAUAACCACCGGAAACGGUGGCUAAUACCGAAUACGACCAGUCUUCGCAUGAGGUGCUGGUGGAAAGUCUUUUCGGUGAAGGAUGUGCUCGCGGCCUAUCAGCUUGUUGGUGGGGUAAUGGCCUACCAAGGCUUCGACGGGUAGCCGGCCUGAGAGGGUGACCGGCCACACUGGGACUGAGACACGGCCCUGACUCCUACGGGAGGCAGCAGUGGGGAAUAUUGGACAAUGGGCGAAAGCCUGAUCCAGCAACGCCGCGUGAGGGAUGACGGCCUUCGGGUUGUAAACCUCUUUCAGUACCGACGAAGCGCCCUGUCGGGUGGUGACGGUAGGUACAGAAGAAGGACCGGCCAACUACGUG
rnacentral:rRNA from 1 species